UAACGCGUAGGUAACCUGCCUUGUAGCGGGGGAUAACUAUUGGAAACGAUAGCUAAUACCGCAUAACAAUGGAUGACCCAUGUCAUUUAUUUGAAAGGGGCAAAUGCUCCACUACAAGAUGGACCUGCGUUGUAUUAGCUAGUAGGUGAGGUAACGGCUCACCUAGGCGACGAUACAUAGCCGACCUGAGAGGGUGAUCGGCCACACUGGGACUGAGACGCGGCCCAG
rnacentral:rRNA from 1 species